GGGUGCGAUCAUUCCAUCACUAAUGCAUUAGAUCCCAUCAGAACUCCACAGUUAAGUGUGCUUGGGCGAGAGCAGUACUAGGAUGGGUGACCUUGUGGGAAGUUCUCGUGUUGAACCCC
rfam:Gossypium hirsutum cultivar TM-1 chromosome 13, whole genome shotgun sequence